rnacentral:rRNA from 1 species
GACAGAGGGGGCAAGCGUUGCUCGGAAUCACUGGGCGUAAAGGGCGCGUAGGCGGGAUGGCAAGUCAGUCGUGAAAUCUCUCGGCUCAACCGAGAAACGUCGGCUGAUACUGCCGUUCUUGAGGGAUGCAGAGGAGACUGGAAUUCCCGGUGUAGCGGUGAAAUGUGUAGAGAUCGGGACGAACACCGGUGGCGAAGGCGGGUCUCUGGGCAUUUCCUGACGCUGAGGCGCGAAAGCGUGGGGAGCAAACGGG